rnacentral:rRNA from 1 species
AGAAUCAACGCUGGCGGCGUGCCUAACACAUGCAAGUCGAACGAGAAAGUGGAGCAAUCCAUGAGUACAGUGGCGCACGGGUGAGUAACACGUGACUAACCUACCCUUGAGUGGGGAAUAACCUGGAGAAAUCUAGGCUAAUACCGCAUAACACCUACGGGUCAAAGGAGCAAUUCGCUUAAGGAGGGGGUCGCGGCAGAUUAGCUAGUUGGCGGGUAAUGGCCCACCAAGGCAGUGAUCUGUA